rnacentral:rRNA from 1 species
UAGGGAAUCUUCGGCAAUGGACGAAAGUCUGACCGAGCAACGCCGCGUGAGUGAAGAAGGUUUUCGGAUCGUAAAACUCUGUUGUUAGAGAAGAACAAGGACGGUAGUAACUGAACGUCCCCUGACGGUAUCUAACCAGAAAGCCACGGCUAACUACGUGCCAGCAGCCGCGGUAAUACGUAGGUGGCAAGCGUUGUCCGGAUUUAUUGGGCGUAAAGCGAGCGCAGGCGGUUUCUUAAGUCUGAUGUGAAAGCCCCCGGCUCAACCGGGGAGGGUCAUUGGAAACUGGGAGACUUGACUGCAGAAGAGGAGAGUGGAAUUCCAUGUGUAGCGGUGAAAUGCGUAGAUAUAUGGAGGAACACCAGUGGCGAAGGCGGCUCUCUGGUCUGUAACUGACGCUGAGGCUCGAAAGCGUGGGGAGCAAACAGG